CCAGCUGUCACCGUGGGACCCUGGAUCUGUGCUUCGAGCUCCGCCUCAUACGACCCCAGGGUACGAAGAGCAACAGAUGCGUUUGGGGGCUGGGACGGAAUCUAUUGUGGAAGGCUUCAUGAAGACACGCAGCGAAGGGGAGAGGAACCCAGGCUGCAGUGGAUUGGAGCCCCGGCUCUUCCAGAUGAAGCCACAGCUCAUGAGGAGGACCGACGCAGACGGCGGCGGAGGUUUUUGAAGGUUCUCCCAGACUGGAGAGUCGUCACGGUGGCUUUGCUCCAUGCACUGCAAUGGCGUGGAGGAGUGCGGAACAGCCGGAUUGACGAAGACAGACGAAGGACAUCCGAUCCGUGGAGCGAGGGCUCCGGGACUUGAGAGGCUUCAAAGACGACGUGCACUGGGUCGUCGUUUCUACUGGAUCAGUGCGGAAGCAUGAUGGUGACGUCGGCCAGCGCUCCUCCGCGGUAACGUCGCCCGCUGCGUUGAGAGCCAUGUGAACCUCUGGACUCCGUGGCGCUCCGUGCCCGCCCCGUCCUUCCCGAUCCACAAGUUCACAGGUCUUUCUGCGGGGCUCAGCGGGAGAGAGAUCCACCGUUCAGAUAUUCCAGGAGAAGGGAAGAAAGACCUUCGCUUGAGGCUCCGGAGGAAAACUCUUUGUAGGUCGGGCCAUCAUUUAAUACUCAGUUUUCGAACCUUGCCGGCUCCGUCGCGGACGGACAUUAAUCAUGCUUGAUUCAGCAGCCUGAGAGACGGCCGGGCGAGUGUGCGUGAUGGAUGUCGAGGCCUCCAACUCUACUGGAAUACUAGCUUAAUUUAACUAAGUGGUCUUUUAUUAUUGUCAAGGUGGAUCAACAAAUUCUCUCAGGGACAAGAUAGGUGACACAAUAUUAGUGUCUGUCACCGGGAUAUUAAUUUAGAGGGCACUUGAGUGUGCCGGAAAUUUAUUAAUCUUCACUUUUCUUGUGCCGGAGCAUGGUAAUCAAACUUUCCAGUGUUUAUCAAGUGAAUACAAAUGCUAAAGGUUAAUUUAAUGGUUUUGAGUUAUUUUUAACGUUGGGUGGAGCAGGAUACAGCCUAUAAAGGGCCUUAGUGUUUGACUUCCACACUUGAUUGCACCAUUGAUUGCUCCCUUAAGAAAACACUUGAUUGGUACACGUGUGCCUUGAGUACGGAGGGAAAUGAGAGCUGUCUGUCCACUCGACGGCCUGAAAGAAAAGCUCAGGUGUUUACAUAAUCAGCAAAGUUGGUGGUGAAAUAAGAGGAAAAUUGGUCAUCAGCCGAAAACUUCCCCCUUCACCCGCACUCAUGCACGGCUGCGUAGCUCGUCAGCACAAGUGCGUCUACGGAGGACGCUCUUCCCCGAUUUGUUGCCGUUGAUUCACAGCACCGCAGAUGUGAGAGACGAAGACUCAAACAUCCACAAGUGUCUGGAGAGGAGACGGAGGAGAAUAUCAGGGAACAUCGUGUCCUCCUGGCAGAUAAUACUCUUUAUUAUUGUCUUCAGUUCAGCCGUAACUGUGGGACUUCUCGCACUUGAGCUGCUUUCAAAUAUCACAAUUAUGACAGAUGGAAUAUUUAAAGGCUUCACCAGUUGCUCCUGUAUCGCUAAGUUGGCCCUUAUCCAGAAAGACUUUUCCCUUCCUUGAUGACGUUUUCAAAUUUGGUUUAUUCUGAUACUGGGCAGAUAUUUUGCUGGAAUCUGUCGUGGGAGUGAAACACAGAUAAGCAGAGUAAUUAUAAGGAUUUGUUUGGCCUUGAUUUUUAAAUCAGUUGAAGUGUCAAGUGGCUAUUGAUUUUAACCUGCAGUGUUAGAGAAAGUCCACAGGGGGUCGCUGCUUCACAAUUAAUAACAACAGCUGACCUGAACAGUGUGUAGUGUGUUGGUUUACUUUUCACUGUAAAUCUGUAACAGCUUGGAACAAAACCUCAAAUUGUUCAGAGGGAGCAAAGUUUCCAGUGAUGCUCAGUGACCUUUGA